UACGUAGGGGGCAAGCGUUGUCCGGAAUUAUUGGGCGUAAAGAGCUCGUAGGCGGUUCAGCAAGUCGGCUGUGAAAGUCCAAGGCUCAACCUUGGAAAUGCAGUCGAUACUGCUGUGACUAGAGUCUGGUAGAGGAGAAUUGAAUUCUCGGUGUAGCGGUGAAAUGCGCAGAUAUCGAGAGGAACACCAGUAGCGAAGGCCGUUCUCUGGGCCGGCACUGACUCUGAGGAGCGAAAGCGUGGGGAGCAGACAGC
rnacentral:misc_RNA from 1 species